UACGAAGGGGGCUAGCGUUGCUCGGAAUCACUGGGCUUAAAGGGCGCGUAGGCGGGCGGCCAAGUCAGGGGUGAAAGCCCCCAGCCUCAACUGGGGAAGUGCCUUUGAUACUGGUCAUCUCGAGGGAGAUAGGGGCGUGCGGAACUUCCGGUGGAGCGGUGAAAUGCGUAGAUAUCGGAAGGAACACCGGUGGCGAAAGCGGCGCGCUGGAUCUCUUCUGACGCUGAGGCGGCG
rnacentral:rRNA from 1 species